UGAACGCUAGCUACAGGCCUAACACAUGCAAGUCGAGGGGAAACGGCAGCUUAGCUUGCUAAGCUGGACGUCGACCGGCGCACGGGUGAGUAACGCGUAUCCAACCUGCCCCAUGGUGAGGGAUAACCCCGCGGAAAACGCGGCCUAAUACCUCAUGGCCUCCGAGCUUGACAUCAACCUUGGAGUAAAGAUUCAUUGCUAUGAGAUGGGCCCGCGGCGCAUUAGCUAGUUGGUGAGGUAACGGCUCACCAAGGCGACGAUGCGUAGCCGACCUGAGAGGGUGAUCGGCCACAUUGGGACUGAGACACGGUCCAAACUCCUACGGGAGGCAGCAGUGAGGAAUAUUGGUCAAUGGGCGGAAGCCUGAACCAGCCAAGUAGCGUGCAGGACGACGGCCCUAUGGGUUGUAAACUGCUUUUAUGCGGGGAUAAAGUGGGCCACGCGUGGCCUUUUGCAGGUACCGCAUGAAUAAGGACCGGCUAAUUCCGUG
rnacentral:rRNA from 1 species